GGUGGGGAGGAGUGGCGAACGGGUGAGUAACACGUGGGCAAUCUGCCCUGCACUCUGGGAUAACUCCGGGAAACCGGAGCUAAUACCGGAUACGAUCCUCCAGGGCAUCCUGGGGGGUGGAAAGCUCCGGCGGUGCAGGAUGAGCCCGCGGCCUAUCAGCUGGUUGGUGGGGUGACGGCCCACCAAGGCGACGACGGGUAGCCGGCCUGAGAGGGCGACCGGCCACACUGGGACUGAGACACGGCCCAGACUCCUACGGGAGGCAGCAGUGGGGAAUAUUGCACAAUGGGCGCAAGCCUGAUGCAGCGACGCCGCGUGAGGGAUGACGGCCUUCGGGUUGUAAACCUCUUUCAGCAGGGAAGAAGCGCGAGUGACGGUACCUGCAGAAGAAGCACCGGCUAACUACGUGCCAGCAGCCGCGGUAAUACGUAGGGUGCGAGCGUUGUCCGGAAUUAUUGGGCGUAAAGAGCUCGUAGGCGGCCUGUCGCGUCGGAUGUGAAAGCCCGGGGCUUAACCCCGGGUCUGCAUUCGAUACGGGCAGGCUAGAGUUCGGUAGGGGAGAUCGGAAUUCCUGGUGUAGCGGUGAAAUGCGCAGAUAUCAGGAGGAACACCGGUGGCGAAGGCGGAUCUCUGGGCCGAUACUGACGCUGAGGAGCGAAAGCGUGGGGAGCGAACAGGAUUAGAUA
rnacentral:rRNA from 1 species